CGGAAAAUAUCCUGCCCGGUUGCCUGUUUAAUAUGAUAGUUAAAGAAAUUACUACGUUUAGUUUCGCAUCCACCAUUCAUGGACAGUAUACUGAGACUCCAUUUAAUACCCAACAUUUACAAAAAUGCUGUAAUUGUAAAACUAAAUUGUGUUGCGAUACUAAUGAAGAAAAAUUAUUACACAAGGUUAUACGUCUGGAAAGUGAUAUCAAAAAUGCGAAGACGUGUCUUAAAAAUCUUAAAAGUAUUCCAUCUCAUCUCUCCAUUCCGAGGUGUCGGUUUAGUUUAGAGUCUUUAUCAGAUAAAAAACUGGAAGAAACACGGUAACAGCAGUCAAACAUUUAAUAUAUUCUGUAAAUUUGUAAUCCGAGUCUUUUAAUCAUGUCCAUUUCUGGUUUAUGACAAAUUUUUAUAUAAGUGAAGGUGUAUAAUAUUCUAUAAUAUUAUUAUCUGCUUACAUUAGUAAUGCGUUUAACCAAAAUAACAUAA
rnacentral:misc_RNA from 1 species